rnacentral:rRNA from 1 species
CACUCCUACGGGAGGCAGCAGUGGGGAAUAUUGGACAAUGGGCGCAAGCCUGAUCCAGCCAUGCCGCGUGAGUGAUGAAGGCCCUAGGGUUGUAAAGCUCUUUCACCGGUGAAGAUAAUGACGGUAACCGGAGAAGAAGCCCCGGCUAACUUCGUGCCAGCAGCCGCGGUAAUACGAAGGGGGCUAGCGUUGUUCGGAUUUACUGGGCGUAAAGCGCACGUAGGCGGACUAUUAAGUCAGGGGUGAAAUCCCGGGGCUCAACCCCGGAACUGCCUUUGAUACUGGUAGUCUUGAGUUCGAGAGAGGUGAGUGGAAUUCCGAGUGUAGAGGUGAAAUUCGUAGAUAUUCGGAGGAACACCAGUGGCGAAGGCGGCUCACUGGCUCGAUACUGACGCUGAGGUGCGAAAGCGUGGGGAGCAAACAGGAGUAGAAACCCUGGUAGUCCCAUGA